CUCUCACUUGUAUCUUUAGUAUUAGACUAGUAGUAGAGCAAGGCAAGAGCUACCAAGGAGAGCUUGUCUCCUAGGAAGAAAGGAUCCGCUUGGUAUGAAUCAUAAUUGUUGGGUAUUUUAAACGCAAACAGAAAAAUCCGCAAGCGCACGGAUACCGAUGUAGCUUUCACCCAGGAGUAUUCCAGAGUAUCGAUUUUCCACAGGGAACGUGAGUGUACUAAUUAAGAUCCAAGAUCGCCCAAGGAUAACUAUAUAAUUAUUUUUGGUAGGAAGAGAGGAAGUUUCCUGAGAGUUCUCUAGUUGAUCUAAGAAUCAAGAAUUACUUCAAGAUUAUCUAUUUCGGGACAUCAGAGCACUAACCACAAAAAGAGAUGAGAAGGGGGCUAGG
rnacentral:lncRNA from 1 species